rnacentral:lncRNA from 1 species
GGAGGGUUUGGAAUAUUUUAAGAACAUUUGUAUGCGUGAAAACUUAAAGGCCAAGCUCAACUGUGCUGUGCAGUUGAAGAACACAGCAUGAGUAACUUUGUUAACAUACAUUUACUGACUCAAUUAAUUUAAUUUGUUGUAAAGAUUAGUUUCUAUCCAAAGAAGGAAAUGCAUGUUUAAUGGGUUCUUGAAUUAUUUAAGACAAAGCAACAGAACUGCAGCAACUUUUCAUUAAUUCUCAUCCAUUCAUUUCUGAAAUCAGAAGUAAAAAAUAUAGGAUGAUGAAUCUCAAAAAGCAAUAGCAAUAUAGAAUUGGUUCGAUCCCCAGGCUCGUUUGUAUGAAGAGAGCAUCUGUUAGGAGAUGUCAAUUCAUUAAAUAUAUCAAAUAUAUCUCCAUACAUCAAGGGAUUAAGCUCUAGCUUUCCACAGAAGAUAUUCCGGACAACAAAAAGAGAAAACGAAAUGGAAAUUUGGUUUAAGUACAAACAAACAAAGUGGGAUGGUUACAAAUAAUGGAAACUUAGUAGCCUGGUGGCUUGUAGGCAAUGAAACUGAUGCACUGAACUUGACGAACACUGUCAAAUCCAACGAUACGGACGAAGCCGUCGGGGUAGAGAGUCCUGGCCUCUCGAAGCUCCUUCAGAACCUGAGAAGAAUCAGUGCAGCCAUACAUAGGCAGCUUCCACAUGGUCCAGUACCUUCCAUCAUAGUAUCCAGGUGACCUGUUGUUCUCACGGUGUGGGAAAGCGUCCUAUAAACUCAAAACUCAUAUCAUUACUAUCAAAACUCAUAACUGUUAAAAAAUAACUGAUUCACACAAAUAAUUUUACUCUUCGAUCCAUUGUUGGUUACUCUGUUCCAAGAAAUUUACCUUAUGGCUCAACUCGAAUUCCAAACAAGGGAUCCAUCCACUCCUAAGAAGGUAGUCUACUUCCUUACCCAGCUGUUCCUCAGUGAGGUCUGGCAGGUAAGAGAGAGUCUCGAACUUCUUCUUCCCAAUUGUUGGCCACACCUACCAUCCAUCAUAUCAUAAUUUCAGUAACAUUUUCUAUCCAUCUAACAUAUAAUUCCAAUCUCUAUCUAUGUGUAGAUAGAUUUCUUACCUGCAUGCAUUGCACUCUUCCACCGUUGUUUGCAACCGAAGUAAUGUCAUUGUUUGUCUUCCUCGUUGGGAACCCACCCAAGGACUUCAGCCCAGUGAACGGAGCCACCAUCCCGGCGGCACCGGCACGGUUAACGGUCGUAACAGCUGGAGAGGAGAUCAUUGAUGAAGCCAUUUCCUUCACCUUUCUGAAUCACUUGCAGUUCUACUGCCAGAUGACCAAGCUUCUUCUCCUUCUUGCUAUAUAUAAUACUGUGAUUUCUUCACUACUAAUCCAAUGGUUUCAAAUGAAAGGGAUCCGUUCCUGACAUGUUACAACCGUUGGAUUCUAUAAGUGAUGACAUUACAUCAUGUUGUCCACACGAGUAAGGAAAAUAUUUGAAUGAUAACCUUAUCGUUAGGUACCAUGUGGAAGUGACACGUGGAGGAGGCUCCAUUAUCUUAUCUCUUCCUUGGAAGAACGUAAAUUUGUGAUUGUGGUGGAAUUGAUAUUAUUUGUUAGUGGUUUGUACUAAUGUGCCUUCAUUCCAUAUUGGCCAAACAUAUUAUGUGAUCAUAAUUUCUCAUGCAUGUUUUAUUUUAUUACUCGUGUAUGUAAGAAAAUACCAUUUGUCUUGUCCCUUUGUUUCAGUAAUGUUUUAUAUUUUAAACGUGAAUGUGCAUUGAAAAAAAAAAAAAAAUAAUCAAGAGAACCACCAUAUCAGCUGACAGAUUUUAUCCCUUUUGUUGGGUAACUGAAGAACUUAUUUCAGUGAGGGAAAUCUUUUAGUAUUGCUCGAAAUAUUCAUUACAGUAGGUUUUGUUAUGUUAAGAUAUGUUUGAAAGUAACAGGAGUAAAGUAGAUAACCAGAAUGUGUAUAUGGUAUAGAAGGGUUUGUAGAUGAUGGGCUUAUCAUGUUUGGUUGAUUAAUGGCCAAGCAUAUAUGCUUCAAAGAUAUAAUUUGGUCAUAACUAAAUCAAUGCCCUCAAACCUCAUACCGUAAAGUGCAUUGCCUAAGCUAACACCAAUAAGGCACAAAUGAAAAGUCAAGGAUUACAUGAGAAGUUCAAAGGAUGUGGAAGUUUAUGAUUAUGCUUGAAGAACUGAUAUAGUGUUUUAGAUGAAAUUGGUUAAUGGUUUAGAAUUUCACAUCUGGAGUGGUAAAAUUGUUAGUUUGUUGUAGAAUUAUGUUCACAUGUUAGUUCCAGUGAAUUUUUCGAAGAAACUCUUGGUUUAUUUAUUCUUGAAGAGAUCAUGGUUCGAUCUUUCUUCCGAGCACAAUUUGUCUUGUAUGGAUUUUUCUCAUACGUAGUCCCCCACCAAAUGAAAACAAAUAUCUACAUCUGCCAUUGCAACUCAUUUAAGAUAAAUGAUAUGCCGAAAAUAUCAAUAGGAUAGCACUUCCAAUUUACGAACACAAAUCCUUCAUUUUUGGAUAAACAAAUUUCACAUCCAUUGAGCAUUCUAUCCCAUUUCAAAUCAUGUAACAAAACACUCUCUUCUCUUCAACGCCACUUCUCAGUCCACUGAAUUCCUUAUUCAAGAAAAGCAAUGAAAUUUGGUAAUGGAACUAUCACAUGAGCUAUGUAGGAAAUUGCAUAUAUCUUUUCACUCUAGUUUUGGUAUCUUUUCACUCUACCUUUUGACUACAAAUUCUAAAUUAAACUUCUUAAGGCAAUGAAUCAUCUUCAGCUUCUAAAACAUUAUUUUCUUUUAUUACUUAACCGCCUGGAAAACAUCCUCAAAUGGGUACGAAACUCAAAUAAAAUUCUUUGUUGAUGAAAACUACAAUGACAAUUAUCUUGUUUUUAUACUUGUAGUAAUUUUUUUUUUAAAAAAAAAGAGUAAAACAAAUGCAAAAAUAAAAGUCUCCUACUAGAAUUUGCUUAUCACGUUUAACUUUCUAUAAUGAGUUUUGGGGCUCAAUUCUAUAUGAUGGGCGACGUUCCGAAGAAGAGGCCGAUUGGACUACUUGAAGCUUCCUUCAAUGAGUAAAGAUGUAGCAAAAAGAACAAAAACUUGAGAUUGAAAACAAACCUUAGGAGAAACCCUGGGUAAAAAGGUAGUUCAGUUGAGGUUGGAGGUUUAGAGGUAGAAGAUGAUUUAAACGACGAAUAAACCCUAGAAGAUGAAGGAACCCUAAGUAAACCGAUUAAUCAGAGGAAAAAGAGAAACUAACUGGUAGAAAUGAGGAAUGAACGAAGAAAAGGUUGUUACCAAAAUGAAGAAUGAAUGAAGUUUUGGUGAUGAAGAAAAUCAAGUCUCAAGCAUCAAGUUGAAAGAAGAACAAUUGAAGACUUGUAACACGUUAAAAAGCUUUUGUAAUAAGUGUUAAAAGUGUCUUAGAACUUAGGUUUUAGAUAGUUUUUAAUUCCAUGCAAGUUUGAAUUAUGAAUUUCUAUAAGAGUCAAAACCAAGUUGUAUAGUAAUCAAUUGAUACAGAUGAUAAUCAAUUAGUGAUAAUUGAUUAACAGGUGAAAUAAUCGAUUAUAAAAGUCAGUUUUGGAUAACUCCUAGUUUCGAUGAUAAUCGAUUAUUAGGAAAAAUAAUUGAUUAGUGAUAAUCGAUUAUCACUCGAAAUAAUAGAUUAUCUUGUGUAUCGUUGGAGUUUUUGGCCGUUUUCUAGCCGUUGGAAUAUCUGUUUUUCUUGUUUUUAGUGUAUAAUCGAUUACCGAGUAUGAUAAUCGAUUAUUACUUCAAAAUGGCUGAAAAUGAAUGUUUGGAAGGUGCCAAGCUUGAGUUUAUACAUAAUCUCUCAUUUCUAGCAUCUUGGACAUUCCUUUGAGCUUAGAAUUAUUGUAAAUCACUUGAGAUUCUAUUAUUCUUGUUACGCUUGAGAAACUCGUGUUUGCGAAGCUCGGGAAGUGCUACUACGGUGCUAGAGGAAAAGUCAGUUCAUCCUUGGUGUGUUUGAGGAGGUGUUAUGAGAAAGGUUUCAUCCUUUGUGCGGUUGAAGGAAGUGGGUUCAUCCCUUGGUGUGUCUAAGGGAGUUGUGUUUCAUCUCUUGUGACUUCAAGAGAGGUGUUUUCUAAACCUUGCAAAUUGUAUCUGUGUGAUUGUAGUUUGUAUUGAUUUUGUGAUUAGUGGAUUAGUUAAUCUUGUUUUGAGAAUAACAACUAGACAUAGGAUUGGUAAGAUCCAAACCAGUAUAAAAUCAUCUAUGCAAAUUUCUCUCUACCUUACUCUUUUUACUUUGUUCAUAUUAUCUGCAAAGUAAGUUUAAUUGAGAGAAAAUUUAAAAGGCACACAUUUUUGUAAGAAACCAAUUCACCCCCCCUCCCUNNNNNNNNNNNNNNNNNNNNNNNNNNNNNNNNNNNNNNNNNNNNNNNNNNNNNNNNNNNNNNNNNNNNNNNNNNNNNNNNNNNNNNNNNNNNUUCACGCAAUCGCUCCACUGCAGCCACUCUGACAAAUGGUAUCAGAGCUUGCUUUUACAGUCAGUCAAUGGAGGGAUAAUAUCAAACUUUUGUAGAGGGUGCUUCUAUUAUGCAUUUUGGAAACUUAGAAUGCACAUAUUUAUUGAGUCUAUUGAUGUUGUUACAAUUAACAAUAUGUAGGAACCUAAACCCUGUGAUCAAUGGACUAUUGAAGAAAAGAGGAAAGCUCAAAAUGAUGUAAGAGCUCGUAACAUUAUUUCAUCUACUUUAAUUGUCGAUGAGUUUUACAGGAUAUAUGUGUGUAAGAUUGCUCAAGAAAUUUGGGAAGUGUUAAGAGUAACUCACGAAGGUACAAAUGAUGUUAAGAGUGCCGGAAGAAAUACCUUAAUCCAGGAAUACAAGAUCUUCAUAAUGAAGCAAGGAGAAACUAUCCCAGAUGUUCAAAAAUCUUUCACCAACAUCGCUAACCAUCUCAUUGGACUAGGUAAGUCAUUUGAAGUUAAUGCACUUAACAUAAAAUUUCAAAAUCUUUAGACAGGUCUUCGCACCCAAAAGUGACUGCAAUUUCUAAGUAAGAAAAUCUCAACACAAUGACCAUGACGACGCUAUUCAAAAAGUUGAGAGAACAUGAACUUGACCUUGGAAGACUAGACGAAGAAGAAGGAAAAACCAAGAAAAAGACUCUAGCCUUCAAAUAUGAGGUACAAAAGACCUUCAUAAGAAGAAGAAAAUUUAAGUCUCCUAAUCAAAAGGCUUAACAGCUUCAUGAAAUCAAAAGGCAAAGGAAUAUUCAAAUACAAAAAGACAAAAAAUAAAGGAUGUUCCUUAAACUAUAGAUGCUAGUUAUAGAGAAAAAUGGGCACUUAAAAGUUGACUGGCCAAAUCAAAAGAAUGGUGAAGAAAAGAAAGAAAAGAGAAACUUAAAGAAGAGAAAAGCAUAAAUCACACGGGACGAUGACAAUGAAACAAUUUCUAACUUGAGCGAUUUAGAUGAAGAAGCAAACAUUUGUUUGAUGGCGGAUGACGACAUGGUUGGAAGCCAAGUAAGUACACCUAGCGAUUCUGAAAAUUCUAGUCAGUAUAAUAAUGAAGAUGAAUUGUAUGAUACUUAUGUUACUUGUUGAUAGGGGGAGCAAUAUGAGUGUCGAACCCAAUCCCUGAUGUGUUUGGUUUCUGAUGAUGACAACACAUAGAUGGUGUCAUGACACAAUAGAAAUAUGUAUUAGUGAUUGAUACAUAUUUGGAUAUGUAUAUGCUUAUUGUGAUUAAUACAAAUGUUGACAUACUGUUGAUUCUGCAUACUACUGAUCAUGAUGUGUUUAUAUCUUGUAUGCAUAUUGUAUGUUUCUGUGUGAUGAAAACUACAAGGACAAAAGCAAAUAUGCAUGAAAUAAUGGAUUACAAUGAUGUUGUAAUCAAUUAAGUUCAUCAGAUAGUUUAUGUUUUAAACUAUGGCAAAACAACAAGUUUUGAAUCAAUUACAUUAGUUGUUAAAUUGAUUAAAACUCGUGUCUUUGCAUAUAUCACUUUCAAAUGUGUUGUGAUGUGUUUUUGAAGAGAAAAAGUUUUCAAAAUAUGUUUAAGUGUUUAGCUUAAUCGAUUACACAUUUUAUGUAAUCAAUUAAGUUUAUUAUCUUUUGAAACCUGAUUUCAACUUAGUCAAAACAAUAUUAACAAUCAUAUUUUUAAAUAUGUUUAACUAGCAUUAAAUGCAAAUCGAUUACAUUAAUUGUGCAUUCAAUUAUAUAUGUGUUAGUUGAAUUUCUGUUACAUCUGAUUUUAAUGUAACCGAUUACAUUACUAACGUAAUCGAUUAUUCUGCGUCUGCAUGAUUAAAUCUAUAAAUUGACGUAUUAAAUGCAAUUGUAAGAACUUUUGAUCAUUUGUACAUUUUCAUAUCUGAUAUCUUUGAUCUGAGGAAGUUUUACAAAUUGCUUAGAUGCAUCAAGAAUCAAGAAGUGAAGAAUUUGAAGAAACUUGAAGGAUUCUUGAGAGAAGCUUUGAAGAAUGUGACUGACUGAUCUUAUUUACACUAUGAAGGUGUAUCUGCAUUGAUUCGAAAAGGAUUCUGCAAUCGUUAAUUGUGUUGUUUCCCUGUUCGUGCGUGAUAGGAAGAAGAGUGAGGAGCUCUUCAACUUUGAGAAGUGUUUCUCAAAGGGGUUCUACAGCAAGAACAUGUGGUUUUGUGUGCGUAGGAGUUUUUUUUCUUAUAUUUGAUUGUUGAGUGGGAAAGGUGUUUACAUUUGAGAGAGCUCUGUAAAACCGUUGGUAUAAAACUCAAAUCAUUAUAGUGAAAGAUCCUUCAAUCUAAGGUUUAUUGGAAAGGAAACUAGAUGUAGGCAUUGAGGUGGAACCAGUACAAAUUUGUUGUUUGUAUCUCUUUCAUUAUCUCUUUACUUUCUUUGCAUAUGUGUUUUACUUACAACACAAGAAAGUUUAAAGAUCAUUCUAACUUUGCAAAAAUAUUUGAAAAACGUGCAUUUUUAUAAAUCACCAAUUCAACAACCCCCCCCCCCCAUCUUAAUAUUGAGAAACAAGCCUCUUUAUUUCUAACACUACUUUCUUAGUUGAAUAUGAAAAAUUAGAUAUAACUCAUAAGAAAUAGAAAAAGGAUUUCAAAGAGCUAAAAUUGAAUUUUGAAAAUAUUCUUGAAGAAAAUAAAUAUUUGAAAAAUAAAAUUUUAUAUUAUGAAAAAGGUAAAUGUACUAGUAGUGAUGAAUGUUUAUCUUGUGUAAAUUAUAAGAAACUACUAGAUAAAACAACCCUAGAUUUUGGAUAGAAAAAGGAAAUACUUAUAGGAACACAAAUAUUUCAUAUUUUUAUUGUAUGAAAAAGGUUCAUACUUCAAACAAAUGUAAACUUAAGCAUUAUGAUGUUCCAAGGGGUAAAUAUGUUUGGGUUGUAAAAUGAUUCAAAAUUUUCAAUCUAACCCAAAGGACCCAUACAAAGUUGUUGGUACUUAGUUUGAAGAAACUAUUUUCAAUUUUCUUAGUUGAAUCUUGAACAAAUUAUUUUCAAUCAAGAUAUCAUUCACAAUAAAGAAAGGAGCAUGUAACACAUAACAAUACAUGUGUUAUUAAUAAUGUGUUGUCAUCAUAAAAAACCAUAACACUGUGAGAUUAAGGUUUAGCUAAACCAGUGCUUCCCUUAUCAAUAAUCUCAACAGGUUCAAUGUGAUCUUUAAUCCUCUAUCACAUAGCUGGCUGAUAUUGAGUAGAUUGUGCUUUAACCCUUCAACAAGAAGUACAUUUUAAAUUUCAUAAGAAGAGGGAGUUUUGAUUUUACCUAUUCUGAUGAUCUUCCCUUUCUUGUUGUCACCGGAUGUGACAUGACAGAAGUCUUGUAAGAGGUGCUUGAGAAUUUGGUAGGAUCCCCUAUCAUGUGUCUUGAGCAUCCACUAUCCAAGUACCACAUGGAGCUUUUUGUUCCUUGUUCCAGAUUCACUUCUGUAGUCUCAUAAUUUGCCAUCAUGAUAAGAUCAUUUUCAGAUGCAAUCUUCUUGUUAUCACUUUGAUUCUUUUGGCUUUUUUUUUCAUUGAGAAAUCUUGUAAAUCUAUCAGCAUGCAGAUUGAUUCAUUCUGAUUUGGAACCUGAAUUGUCAUCAAAAGUUUCCUUGUUUCACAAGAUCCCUGUUUCAAAAGAUUCAUAGAAGUCGUUAGUAAUAGAAUUUUUCUUGGCGUUGCAAAUAACGGAUACUAAUUCAAAAGCAGAUUCACUUGUUGUUCUUGUUUGAGAAAUAGAAGUCAUUUGCCCAGAAUAGUCGAUUCAAAGAAAAGUGUAAUCACUAGUUUUUCAAAUAUCAUAAGAAAACUAGCUCUGGUGUCAAUUGUUGAAAAUAGAAUGGCUUAGUUUCAACACCAAGAGGGGGAGGUGAAUUGGUGAAAUAUAAAAAUCGGAGUCUUUUUAAUUUUUUUUUUUUUUUUGUAAAAGAGAGAACUUUUAAAAGUUUCUUGAAUCACAAGGAAAAAGAUAAAUCAAUUGCAGCGAAAAUAGUUGACUACGUUAAAAUUAAAGUCGACUUGAAAUGUAAAAGUAUAGGGAUAGAAGAUUCAAACGCAGUUUUUAUACUGGUUUGGCCAAACUGCCUACAUCUAGUGUCCUUCCUGUACCCGGAAGCAAAUGCACUAUAAUGAUCAGGGUUUUUAAUACAAGGUUUCUAUAUAGACCUCCACGUCAAAAUAUAAAACAACUUUCUAACCCUUUUACCAAAAUAUAGGCAUAUACAAAACAAAGAACAACAUCAAGAUAUCCCUUCUCCUGCAGUCUUUAAUCCCUUUGAACAAUCAUCAAAGUCCUAGAACGCAACACGUCCUCUUCCUGUAAUCACAAAAGGGCAGCCGCAAUCUUCACAAGAUUGAAACAAGUAGUCGAUCACGUUUCAAACACCUCACUGUGCAAUAUGAUCAAUUUGUCUUUAAGCACCAACACUUGCUCUACAAGCAACCACCAAAGAAUGAUCACCAUGAUUUUUCUUGAUGAGUUCUUGGAGCUUUAGCACGUUCUACAAAUCUGAAAAGAAUCAAUGAAAUCAUUAAAUUCAUAAAAGUCUUUCUAGAAAUCAAAUUUGCGUCUAUUUAUAGUUUAUCACGAAACUGACGCUCCUCAAGUCGACUAUGCUGCUAAUAGAGUCGAUUAACCACAAACAGUUAUAACAUUUUAGUAGCAGUCAGAUCAACUUAAUUGAUUACACAUUUAAUUCAGUUGACUAACAAUUAAUGUCUGGGCAAAGAUACAAAAUAUAGCCGUUAGACAUCACAAGCAUCAACAGAAUUUCAAAACAUAAUUAACUAAGUCGAGUAGCUUGCGCAUACAAUCAACUUUGUAACACUUCAAUGCAGUUUUGAAAAUCUUUCUUUGCAAAAAUAAUCACAGCACUGUUUGGAAAAGUUUGUGCAAAGACACGAGUUUUAAUCGACUUGCUUCAUGAUGAAGUCGACUUAAAAUUGUUGUUUUGUCACACAAUAUACAUUAAACCAAAGUGCAUGUGGUUUUCUUUUCUAAAUCAUAUGUUAUGAAAUAACAUAUGAUAUCUCAUGUAGAACACAGUAAGUUUGCACACAUAGACAAAAUCAACACAAACAUGUUCUCAAAUAAUCAUACAUAUGAAAGUAAAGAACAUGUAACACAUAUGAAUAUGUAACAACACAUGUUUUUAUUAAUAAUACGUUGUCAUCAUCAAAAACUAGUGCUUUCCUUAUCAACAAUCUCAACAAAGUAGUUGCAAAUAGAAAGCACUUUUAACGGGUUAGCCAAGAGUAGGUACGAUCCUAAACAAUACUCGAGAGACUAGUUAGGGUGGGUAUAAUUGACUUUAAAAUGGGGUUGCAAAGAGCCUCAAACUAUUUAUACACAUAUGACACUUUAAGAUUCUUAUGUGUAUAUUUUUAUGUGUCAUGUAGCAAAAGUUAUGGUCAUUUGAAGAUUUUCACCACCAAAUCUUCAUAAGUAUGAAUUUUGGACCAAUAUCUCACAGUUGAACACUCUACAUUCAAAUACAACUUAAUAAUAGUUCCUAAAAAAAAUAAGUCAAAAAUAUUUUUCUAGCUAUUUGUAGUGAAUUUUAUGGCACACAACAAUUUCUAAACACCAACCUAAAUAAGAAAUGAAAUCGGAGAGAAUGAGAGUUUGAGUUUAAAAGAGUAUUGUCGUUGUUGUAGUUUCGUGAUAGGUUUCACACAAACGAGUAAGAGAAAGGUGAGGACACUAACACUAUUUUUAAAAUUUUAAAACGCAAAUUGACAGCAAACCCCUCACUAUAAACGUCAAAUUGCAAAUUAACGUCAAAUCUAGAGUAGUUUGACAUUAUUUAAUGUCUAUUGGUUCUAAAGUCAAUGUUAAUUUCAAAUUUAACAUCUAUUGUAUGAGAGUUUGACGUUAAUUUAAACAAAAUUUUUAUAAAAAUAUUAUUGUAUAUUGUUAAUGUCAAAUUUUGAAUCAUACAAUAUAGAACUGGCCACAUUAUAAGUUUUAUUUACACUAGUAAUUAUAUUUGUACUAUAUGAAAUAUACCGAUCGGAGUUAACAGGUAUUAAUGGGUCAGAUUGCCAUAUGCUUUACAAAUAUAUGAUAUUAAUUAUUGAUUAUUGGGUUUGAUUCCCUAAAAAUAUACUACACUAAUGGUUAAUCAAUGGACUUGGUUGCCAUAAGCCCUAUAAAUAUACAAUUGAUGUUCAGGUACAAUCAUCCUAAUAAAAUAUAGACCUCUUUAUGAAACAUAUCUGACUUGAGCGUCAGAGUGUCUUCUGCAGGUCAACAAUCCAUCAGAUGGAUUGCGUGCUCGAAGAGGAUUGGACGAUCGAAAGAGAGUAGAGAAAGGAAGGACGACCAACCCUCGGACUAAUUCAACCGAAAAAUUUUGGCGCCCACUGUGGGGCCGAGCAGCAUUCCCAUGAAACCACGAGGAACCAGACAUGCGCUCGGUCUCGAUAUCGCUACUUUGGAUCAAUACCAGGUUUUGCAACAGCAGCAAAAAGUUUCAUAAUAAUUUUUAAAUACAUGUCUUUUGUUUUGGAAACUUUCAGGAAGGUUCAGACCUACGUUCAACCUUGUCACAUUCCAAUUACUUUUAAUUAUAAUUUAUAAAUUAUAAAAUAUUGAUUUAACUCAUAUUUUUGUGAGUAAAAAUAUCAUGUGCAGGAAGGUCCAACCUACGUUCAACCUUGUCAUUUUCCAAUGACAUUUCAUUUUAAAUUAUAAAAUAUUAACGCAUAUUUUUGUGAGUAAAAAUAUCAUGUGCAGGAAGGUUCAGACUUACAUUCAACCUGGUGAGAUUCCAAUGGCUUUUCAUUAUAAAUUAUAAAAUAUUGAAUAUUUUAUUUAACGCAUAUUUUUGUGAGUAUAAAUAUCAUGUGUAGAAAGGUUCAGUCCAACAUUCAACCUUAUCAGGUUCUAAUGGCUUCUCAUUCUAAAAAUAAAAUAUUAAAUAUUUUAUUCAACGCAUAUUUUUGUUAGUAAAAAUAUCUUGCACAAGAAGGUUCAAUCCCUUACCGCUUGGUCAGUUGAGGAAAAAGAACUCCUCGCUCAACAUAGGAAAAAGUUUUGGAAAAAGAACUCCUAUCAGACGCCGCCCAACCUAGAGAAAAAAGUUCUGGAAAAAUAACUCCUAUCAGUUGCCACCCAGCUUAGAGAAAAAAGUUCUGAAAAAAGAACCCCUCGCCCAAGAUAGGAAAAAGUUCUAGAAAAAGAACCCCUAUCAAUCGUCGUUCAUCUUGUCUUAUUUGCUUGGUCGUUCAACUUUUUAGCAUAAUCUAUUUUGAUAUUAAUGGUCUAACCUCAUAAAUGCGUUGGUUUGAUUGGAAAUAUUUUUUCUGACAAGUUCAUAUUCAAAUUUUUAUUUUUCUUCAGUGGAGAUAACAGAUUCUAGCUUCUACUGCUCAACAUGGGAAAAAGUUCUAAAAAGAACUCCUAUCAACAUAGGAAAAAGUUAUAAAAAGAACUCUCAUCAAUCACCGCUCAACAUGGGAAAANAAAGAACUCCUAUCAACAUAGGAAAAAGUUAUAAAAAGAACUCUCAUCAAUCACCGCUCAACAUGGGAAAAAGUUCUAAAAAGAACUCCUAUCAAUACAAGAAAAAGUUCUAAAAGGAACUCCCAUCAGUUGCCGCUCAACAUGGGAAAAAGUUCUAAAAAGGACUCUUGUCAACAUAGGAAAAAGUUCUAAUAAGAACUCCCAUCAGUAGUUGGACCACUAAAGUCCAACCUUGUCAGGUUUUAAUGGCUUCUCAUUAUAAAAAUAUAAUAUUGAAUAUAUUGUUUAAGACAUUUUUGUGAGUGAAAAUAUCUUGCAUAGGAAAAAGUUCCAAAGAGAACUCCUAGAGUUCGCCCGCUCGGUGCAAAGAGGAAUGAAGACUUAAAUAGACUCCCUAAAUACAACGUGAGCAACCUCUCUUAAACUCGUAAUAAUCCUUGCGCACCUCUUUCAAUAAAGAGUUUGCUUGGGCUUGGGGGACUUAUGUACUAUAUGAAAUAUACCGAUCGGAGUUAGCAAGUAUUAUAAUGGGUCAGAUUGUCUUACUCUUUACAAAUAUACGAUAUUAAUUAUUGAUUAUUGGGUUUGAUUGCCUAAAGGUAUAUUGCACUAAUGGUUAAUUAAUGGACUUGGCUUUCACAAGCCCUAUGAAUAUACAAUUGAUGUCCAGAUACAAUCAUCCUUUUGUGAACCUUGACCUAUCCUAAUAAAAUAUAGACUUCUUUAUGAAAUAUAUUUGACUUGAUCAUCGGAUUGUCUUUUACAAAUCAACAACCCAUUAGAGUGGAUUGCGUGCUUGGAGAGGAUUGAAUGAUCGAAAGAGAGCAGAGUCAGAAGAACGACCGAUCCUUAGACGAAUUUAACCAAAAAAAUAUUUAAUAAUAUUUUUGUAUCAUCCCUCUCGGGAUCUAUCAACUUAAAGAUUGUAUUGUUAUGUUUUGAAAAGCUGAUUCCAAAAGGAAGGAGGCGUACUAUUUUUGGAGUGUAAGAAGAAACUCAUGUCAAAUCCAAUUCGUGCAACCUUAAAAUUUGAGAAAGAAAAAAGCAUUUUGUUGAUGAAAUAAAAAAUUGUCAAGCCAAUAAUUUUCUUGGGUACUUGAAAUUGUGUCACUCUAAAGAAUUUAAAAACUUGAUGAUGAAUGAUGAACUAGGUUAUAGUCUAGGCCCACAAGAGUCACAUCGUGAAAAACACUGAUAUUGAUACAUGAUUGGGGAAGAAUACAUUCAUAUGGGUGUUCAUUUUCUCCACUUCUCCCCUUUGUUUUUUCAUGAGCACCACAUAUUUUAAGUAUGCAGCUGAACCAAACACUUAUAGUUCAGUCCUUAUCUUUCUUUCUCUUAACAAAAAAUGACCCCAUUUGUUUUGCUUUAAGGCAAGUGGUUGUGCAUGCCUUGUUGCCCUUUAUCAUUGUUUUGUUGGUUUCUGUCUUCAUUAAAGUACAAACGAUAGAAGUAAUUAAAAGAAAAAUUAAGCAGAUAAAAUGUAUUAUUUCGAUGAAUAUAAAUAAAAGGUAGAUUACGUAAAACAAAAUUCAAUUUGUCUAAUGGAGUGAAAGUUUAGUAAAUAAGUUCUAUAAAAGGGAUUUAACAAUUUAAAUAAUUAAUUUUAAUUAAGUUUAAACUUUUAUUACAUUAUUUCAUUAAAAAAGUAAAACAUAAAAAAAUGUAUCAAACAUUUUCUCGAUUGAAGAAAAUAUGUUUUAAAGCAUAAUUAUGAUAAACUUUACUUCUUCAUUUAUUUAAAUAAUGUGAAGUUAAUAUUUUCAUCACAGUUUACUCUUUUUAUUUCCUUUAUUUAGUAUUAUUUUAAUAUAUAUAUAUAUAUAUAUAUAUAUAUAUAUAUAUAUAUAUAUAUAUAUAUAUAUAUAUAUAUAUGCUUAGUCAAAUUAAAGAUGUAAUAUAUAUGCUUAGUCAAAUUUUCCUUACGAUUAUCAGAAGCAAUACCAAAUUUAAGUGCAAAAUGAGUUUACUAGUUGGUGUUGUAAUAUUUCUUUUAAUAUUUUUCAAUUUUUUAUAUAUUUUCUUUUCUUCUUUUUCUUUAUCUUUUGUAGAGGAACUUAACUUUUCUUUAUAUCAAUUUUGAAACAAAAACAACCAAUAUAUAAUUUUGAAUUUUCAUAACCAGACUAAGAUAAUAAAAUAUGUAGAGAAUCUAAGAAAGUAAUUACUAUUUUGACAAUUUCAAUAAGACUAUGUAGAACCUUAAUACUAGUAAUUUGUUUAGGAACUAAAAAUAAGCAUGAACACAUGCAUCCUAUCCACAUGAAAAUACAAUUGCAAAAAAUCUGACCCAAAAGUGACGCACACAUCAAAAGGUUUUUCAACUUUGUAAAAUGAAAAUAAAAUGGCUAACAUCGAAGUAAUGACAAUUUUGGAUUCAGAAGACUUAGACAAAACUUAUAUCAUCUAAAAGCAAAGAAAAAGACUCAAAAUAUAACCCAUACCCAUGACAAAUGAAACAAAAUUUUGCACAUAUUCAUAUAGAAAAUGGAAAUUCUAGAACACACGUCAAAGAGGAUAGCAGAAUGUUUAACAUAAAAAAUAAACCAAGAGGGGGUGAACUGGUUUCCUUUCGCAAAUGUGUUCCCAUAAUAAUUUUCUCUCCAUUUUAUCUUACUUAGAACAUAAAUUAAACAAUAAUAAAGAUUAAUGGAAGAGAGAAAAUUGCAUAGAUAAUUUUAUACUAGUUCUUAUCACGAGGAUCCUAAGUCCAGUUGUUAAUCCCAAACAAAGAUUAACAUUAUGUAGGAAUUGGUAUCGCGUAGCAUAAUGUUUUAAAGAGUGUGUAAACAGACAAUAACCAAGAGGGGAGGGGUGAAUUGGUUCUUUCAAAAACUUCAUUUUACCUUUUCAAAACUUUUGUCAAAUAGUUUAUAAAUAAAGGAUGAAGGGAUAGAGAAAAUCACACAAAUGAUUUUAUCCUGGUUCGAAUCAAAAGAUUCUACAUCCAGUCUUAAUUACUAUAAAAGAGUGAUUAACUUUUUCACUAAAAAAGAGUUUAAGAUUACAAUAAGAAUAAUGAAAUAAUAAGAACAUGAUACACCUUCCUUCGACACACGAUGGAUGAAUACCAACUCAAUCAACAUGUAGAGAACCGUUUGCACCUUUAGGCACACUAACCACAAGCUUCUCCUUUCUCAAGACUUAAUUAAGCUCGCACUUAAACUAAAGAACUUCCUCAGAACAAUUCUAUGCUCUCAAAUGGUUUAGGUUUUCUUUAAAAGGUUUAGGAGGAUUCUAUAUAUAGGACAAUUGUCAGAAAAUGAAAAGACAACACCCAACUGUCAGUGAUAAUCGAUUAUCACAACUGAUAAUCGAUUAUUUUAGGUCGUUAUGGGUUUUGGAAAAAUGUGAUAGUCGAUUAUCCUUAGUGAUAAUUGAUUAUUUUUGAACCCUUGACAAUAUCAAAACUUAUAGUGAUAAUCGAUUAUCCCCUAUGAAAAUCGAUUAUUGCUGCGAUAAACCCUUUUCUAUUUUUGCUUGUGAUAAUCGAUUAUCCCCUAUGAUAAUCGAUUAUUGCCGCAAGAAAUCACUAAGUUAUGAAACUUCUAAGUGUUUACAAUUGAAAAUAACUCCUAUACAAAUGCUUUUUACAAAAGAUGCUUUUAACAUUUAAAGUAUCGGAUUCUUCAAGUCUUCAGUCUUUAAGUUCAUCAUCAUCAAAAUCUCUUCAACGCAUCAAUGCUUAUCAUGGAUAACACAUUGCACUAUCACAAAACCAAUAAACUAUUACAAUCACACAAAAAAACAAGUUUAUGGGUUUAGAAACACCUCUCCUUGUUACCAUAAGAGAUGAAAUUCACUUCCCCUGAAGGCCAUAAGGGAUGAACAUGUCCUCCGAAUGAUUCAUGAAGGACGAACACUUUCUUUAAAUCUUCACAAAGGAUGAUAGGCUUCACUUAGCAAUAGCAAAAACACUCAACCACUCUCUGAGUGAAAUUUCUCGCUUUCUCCAACGCUAAGUUCUCAAAGUCAAAGUACAAGAGUAACACAAACCCUACAUCACACUUUUCACAUUUUACAACUAACAUAUGUGUGCUAGAAUGAGAGUCUAAAACAUCUUUAUAAAGACCUCACUCAAUGACACCUCCUAAAAUUCAUUGUCAAUUUUUUGUCGCGUGAUAACCGAUUACACACUUAUGGUAAUUGAUUAUGCAUUUAAUGGAUGCAUAAGGGCCAAAAACAAGCUUAAAAAAUCCAAUGACUAGUUAUGAUAUGGUAAGUCAUAUUUGAUUAUGGAUAAUAUAUUAUUCUAGAGCCAAAAUAAGUUUUUAUCAACAUUUAAAAACCUCAUUGCGUUAAUCGAUUAUCUUAAGUAGCUAAUCGGUUAUUGCAAAGUUCUUUUAUUCCAAAAUGAAUCAUCAGUGCAGUAAAGGGAACCGACAACGAUUAUUUUCACCUAUCUGCAUUGAUUCCACAACCAAGGUAUAUACAAGCAAGGCAAAAAGGUAGGCUUUUUGCCUUGGUUCUCAACCGAGGCAAAAAGGGGUAGUCUUUUGCCUCGGUUUCUUUUGAAUUGAGGCAAUAAAGGGUUUUCUUUUUCUUUUUUUUUUGGCCAGACUUUUUUUUGGCCUAUGAACCGAGACACUAUAGGGGAGCUUUUUACCUCAGUUUUGGGAUGAACCAAGGCAGUAGAGGGUUUUUCCUUUCUUUUCAUUUUUUGUCAGUCCUUUUGCCUCGAUUGUGCCUAGAAUCGAUGGCAUAGAUGGCUUUCUGCCUCGGUUAUGGUCACAACUAAGGCGUAUUCUACUGGUUUUUUUUAUAAAACAUGUCUAUUUCUAUAACAAUCCCACCUAUAGAAACAAACCUGCAUAUAUUCAACAGAAAAAAAUAAUGUAGAAACAUAUAUUCAAUGCAAAUUAUAAUCAUAAAUCAAUUCAAUGUACAUAGAAUUUUAAUCAUAAAGCAACUUAGAAGCAUAAAUCAAUCCAAUGUACAAAGUUAACCUAAUCAUAAAUUUGCUAAUGUAGAACUUAUUAUAUCCUAAUAUCUACAUACUAUUAUAGAGUUGAAUUACAUAUUUUCCAUGUGUUUUCAUUAUCAAUGUAAUGGACUUUGACGGAAUUGAAGUAGUAGAAUUGAAUCUCUAUAUAAGACACAAUGAUUUCAAUUAGAUAAUACAUGUACUUUCCUUAGCAUUCAUACUUUAUGUGUUUAUACAUGUGUUUACAUAUGUUGUAUACAUACUCAUACUUUGAUAUGUGAAAAUCACUUGCACAAUGUAUUAUCUGUAUGAAGUAAUCAAUUACAGAAAUUAUUUAAUCAAUUAAGUUCAUCAUAUAACCAUUUUCUUAAACUAGUGCAAGCUACAAGUUUUAACCGAUUACAUUAUGUGUAUAAUCAAUUAAAACUCAUGCCUUUACAAUACAUCUUUCUGGAUUAUGCUAUGAUGAGUUUUGUGUUGAAAAUGUUUUCAAAAUGCUUAAGUGUUGUACUUAAUCGAUUACACAUUUUAAGUAAUCAAUUAAGUUAGUUAUACUUUGAAAAAUGGUUGUUGUUAAGUCUUAACUAUCCCAACAGUCAUAUUUUAAUAUGUUUUGGCUUACAUGAUAUAUUGAAUCGAUUACAUUAUGUGCUUAAUCUAUUAGAUCUGUUUGAUUGUUUUUCAAGUGUAACUCUAUUACUUAUGUAACCUAUUACAUUAUUAUAGUAAUUGAUUAAACUACGUCUGUUAUGAGAAAAUUAUAAAUUGUUGCAUCGCACACUGUAUUGUAACGAAUUGAUCAUUCUAAACUUUCAUAUCUGAUGUUUGUGAUUUGAGAAAAGUGUUACAGGCUAAGACGCUCCAAGAAACAAGAUACAUAGAAGUUGAUAAAUCUUAAAGGUUUCUUGAAGAACUGAUUUGGGUUUUCACUACUGAUCAACUAUUGCACUAGUGAGGUGUACUCUUGAUUGAUCAAACUUCGCUUAUAGCAAUAUUGGAUUGUGUUGUUUCCCUGUGUGUGCGGCUAGGAAGAAGAGCAUGAAGUUCUUUGGACUUUGAGGGGAUCUCAAAGGGUGAUUAUAGGAGAGGAUUGUCCUUGCUGUAGGGUUUUGUUAUUGGCUAUAUUAAAUUAAUGAGUUAAAGAGGUGUUUACAUUUGAGAGGUGGUCUCUAUAAAACCUUAUUGUAAAAACUCAUAUCUUUAUAGUGCAUUUGGCUUUCAAUCUCAGGUUGAUUGAAAGGACAUUGGAUGUAGGCAUUAAGGCCGAACCAAUAUAAACCUUGUGUUUAUAUCUCUUUCCUUAUCUCUUUUACUUUCACUGCAUGCACUUUAUUGGUUAGAUUCCAAGAAAGAUUAAAGAUCAUUCUAAGUUUACAAAAAGAUUGAAAAAGUAAUUGUUUUUAUUGAUCACUAAUUCACCCCCCUCUCUUGGUGUUGAGAAACAAGACACCUCUUUUCUUAUAGCUUCCACUAGGCAAUUCUGGUAUCAACCAGAUACUCUUCCUAGUAAUGCUUAACUCACCUGAGUUAAUCAACAAAUGUUUGAAUUUUCUUCAGAAUAUGCAAUCAAUCAAAUUACUUACAAGUCUUAGACAAUUAGUCUCACAGAGAAAAUAUAUGUUCAACACUGGUUUAGCCAAACCUUACAAUCUCAUACCUUCUAGUUUUUGAUGAUGAUAACACAUUAUUAAUAACAACAUGUGUUGUUAUGUGUUACAUGUUCAUAGCUUUCAUGUUUAUGAUUAUUUGAGAACAUGUUUGUGUUGUUUUAGUCAAAUUAUGCAAAUUCACUGCGUUUUACAUGAGAUCUUAUUUGUAAUUGCAUAACAAAUGUUUUGAAAAAGGAAAACCACAUGCACUUUAGUUGAACUUUAAAUAGUGUGGCAAAACAGCCCCUCAGCGCUAGUGAACAAACAUUAAAGAGGGACGUUAGUGCUUGGGCUUUCGGUGCCAGUGUUGAGCGUUGACUGCGCAAGGUUUUACACCCUUGUUUUACACCCUUUUCUUUGUUGGCUGCAUCAAAAUAAAACCCCCAAUAUACGAACAACAAACGUUCUAGGCCGAAAUUAACACCCUAAAACCCCAAAAUCACUCAAAAUUGAUAGGACAACAUGAAAACUUAAAACUACAUGAGCAUGCAACAAUUUCACAACAUAAUUGUCAAAUGAAAUGCUCCACUUAAUCAAUUAAAGACAGCACAGCAGCAACCAUGGUUAUUGAAAACGCGAGUUAACUCGUUAACUCGGUCGAGUUUACGAGUUCAGAUAGUGCUUUCAAGUUAACUCAUAAGCAAACUCAUUUUUAGAGUAGGAUCGAUAGAAUCGUGGUAGACUCGCUAAACUCGCCUAAAAUCGCGAGUUUGGUUCCGAUUUUGCGAGUUUGGGAAAAAAAUUCGAAGACACAAAACAACUACGUUUUUAGGACUCACCGGAUUAGGUUUUUUAAAAGAUGCACUCAUUGUUCAUCUUGGUUUUCACUGUUCAUCUUCUUUCUUGCACUUUCGCUUUCUAUCUCGUUCGAUCUAGCCCUUCGUCGCGCCCUCAUUCACCAGGUUCGCCUUCCAUCGCGCCAUCCAUCUCGACUUUCGAACUCAGCCUCCGUCCGUCGUCGAUCUCGACCUCGUCCUCCGUCGUACCUUCAUUCUCAUCCUUGUGGGUUCUGUAAGUGCAAACCCCCAACCACUAAAAUCUUAAAUUUGGGUUCACGGGCACUGCAACAUAUAUUUUAAACACUUUUAUGGCACUAGCGCUCACGGGCACUACAACAUAUAUUUUAAACAUUUUUAUGGCACUACAACUGUUAUAAAAUCUGAAAUUUGGGUUCACAGGCACUGCAACAUGUAUUAUUUUAAUGAUUAUAAGUUCAGUUGAUGUCACGGGCACUGCAACAAAUAUUUUUUUAAUAAUUUUAUGUUGGGUUCAUUCAUAGCACUGCAACACAUAUUUUAAUGAUAUUUUAUUUUACAGCUGCAACGUAUAUUUUAAUAGAAUUUGUUUUACAAGCAUUGCACCACUUUACAACACUGCACUGCAUCAUUCUUUUUAUUUUUUUCAAUAAUAAAGUGUUGCACACUGCACUGUUAAAAAAACUUGCUGCCACAAUAUUUUUAAACUCUUGGAUAUUUUAUUUUAUAUAUUUGUAGUGAAAAAGCUUAUGUCACUAUGUCAGGAAAUGCAUCAAAUUCAGAAGUUAAUCCAAGUGUAUCUUCAUCAGUUAGAAGUAGAAGAAAAAAUGCUCCGGGAAAUCGAUCUGAUAUUGGGUGGAAACAUGGAUUUAAUGUUAAUGGUAAUGGAAGAAAAGUGAAAUGCAACUAUUGCUCAAAGAUUGUAAGUGGAGGCAUAUUUAGAUUUAAGCAUCAUCUUGCUAGAACUAGAGAAGAUUUUGAACCUUGUGCUUCUGUUCCGUAUGAACUAAAAAAUUUGAUGAUAAAAAUAGUUGCAGAAGCUAAGAAUGCUUCAUUAAAGAAAAGAAAGAUAAAUAUCGGUGAAGACGAGGAAGAAAGUGAGAGUCUUAAAGGAGGACACGGGGUAUUCGAUUUUAAAGGAAAAGAAAAAGUUGCUACUACUAGUAAUGGGAGAGAUCAAGCAACUAUAAAUCAAAUGAUGGAAAAAGGAUAUAAAGAAGAAGUUUAUGCUCAAGUAGCUAAAUUCUUUUACACCAGUGCCAUUCCUUUUAAUGUUAUUAGAAAUCCAACAUUUGCAAAGAUGUGUGAAAUGAUUGGUAAAUAUGGAGUUGGAUACAAACCACCAUCUUAUCAUGAUAUUAGAGAGAAGCUCUUGAAACAAGUUGUGAAUAAAACAGAUGCAAAUCUUGAGGAAUAUAACGAGGAGUGGAAGAAAAUUGGAUGUACAAUUAUGUCUGAUGGUUGGACGGAUAGAAAAAAACGUUUUAUUUGCAACUUCUUGGUGAAUAGUCCUAGAGGGACGAUUUUUCUUUAUUCCCUUGACACUUCAGACAUUUCAAAACAGCUGAUAAAGUUUUCAAAAUGUUGGAUGAUGUUAUCUAGUUUGUUGGAGAAGAAAAUGUUGUUCAAGUUGUCACUAAUAAUGCUGCAAAUUUUAAGGCAGCCAGAGAGUUGUUGAUGCAAAAGAGGGAAAAUUUUGUAUUGGACUCCAUGUGCAGCACAUUGCAUUGAUUUGAUAUUUGAAGAUUUUGAAAAAAAAGUUGAAGGUCCAUGAAUUGACUCUUAAGAAGGGAAGAAAUAUUACCACUUACAUUUAUGGGAGAUCAAUGUUGAUUUCCUUAUUGAAAAAGUUCACUAAAGGUAGAGACUUGAUAAGACCGGGUGUGACUAGAUUUGCCACGGCUUAUUUAACACUUGCUUGUCUUCAUGAAUUGAAAACAUCAUUGUUGACCAUGUUUAACUCUGAGGAAUGGAAGACAAGCAAGUUUGGAACUUCACAAGAGGGGAGAAAAGUAGAACAUGUGUUAUUAGAUAGCCAUUUUGGAAGAAUGUCUCCACAUGCUUGAAAGUUGUUGCCCCUCUUAUGGUUGUCUUAAGAUUAGUGGACUCAGAUGUAAAACUCGCAGUGGGUUUCAUUUAUGAAGAAAUGGACUCUGCAAAAGAGAAAAUUAGGUCUAACUUUAACAAUAUCAAAAGUAGGUAAAUUUUCAAACUUUUACUCAUUCAAUGUUUAAUUACUUAUGUGUGAGAUUACUUCUGAUAUAGCAUGAUUGAUGUAGUUAUGAAGAGGUUUGGAGAAUAAUUGAUGCUCGAUGGGAUAAUCAACUUCAUAGGCCUUUGCAUGCAGCUGCUUAUUUUCUAAACCUUCAUUUCCACUAUGAACCUAACUUUAGAUUUGAUGAUGGUGGAGAGGUGAAAGAAUGAUUGUAUUUUUGCAUGAGAAGAUUGAUACCGGAUAUGGUAGAAAGAAGAAAAAUUAAUUUACAAAUUGUUGAAUUUCAUAAUGCUAAAGGACUUUUUGGAAUGGAAGAUGCAAAGGAGUGUAGGAAAGAGUUAAAUCCUGGGGAAUGGUGGGACAUGUUUGGUGAUGGAACUCCGGAGUUGAAGAGAUUUGUUAUUCGAAUUCUAAGCUUGACUUGUAGUUCUUCUGGAUGUGAGCGUAAUUGGAGUUCAUUUGAAAUGGUAAUUUAAAUUAUUUUUAAUUUAUAAAUUCCUUUAUUAUGUUUAUAUCUUGAUUAAAAAUAUUAUAUUUCAUUUUAGGUUCAUACAAAGAGAAGGCAUCGUUUGCAUCAAAAAAAGAUGAAUGAUUUAGUUUAUGUGAUGUAUAACUCCAAGUUGAAAAGUAGACAGAUUCGAAAAACUAUAGCUCUUCCGUUUGAUGACAUUGAAUCAGAUGAUGAAUGGAUAGCUAAAGAGACAGAUGAUGUUGUUGAGAUUGAUCAAGUUGAAGGUGAAAAUGAUGGUGAAAAUGUUCACUUAGAUGGAGCAACAACAGAUCAUGCUCUAGAUGCUCUAGCUUUUUAGAAUCAAUUUCAAAACUAGUUUUUUGUGUGCCUAAUUUGAGUUUAGCCAUUGGCUGAGAUCUUUAUCACACAUGGGGAGAAGAAAAAUUGUCAAAUUUGCAUGUUGAUUUGAUUCUAGAUUUCUAUGAUCCUAAUCAUCUUGGUAUGUGUAUAUUGUCUAGAUUUUAUUGUAUGUUUAAGUGUUUCCAUUGAGUCUUAUUACAAGCUUUUAUUAUGUUAUUCUUGUUAUAGUUUUGUCACAUGAUUUUUCUUCUUUAGAGUUUAACUUUACUCGUUUUUAGUGCCGUUUUGCUUUUCUUUAGGUUCUUGAAUUUGUGUGUUUCUUGAGCUUGAUUAAUCACCUAAACACCCUAAAAUGAAUAUGGGUUUUUAUCACAUUGGAAAUAACAUAAUGGGAAUUGAAAGUUCACCUGUUUAAUCUACUUAAUGUUCAAUUUAAGAAUUGGAUUGACGAAGAAUUAAUAUUCUAAAAAAUUUAUAAAACAAAGUUUGAAGAAACUAGAUUCUAGAGUUAGUAUUUACAUUGAAAAAGUAAAAUCCCAUAGAUUUGUAUAUUCUCUAUUGACUUUGAAUAUAUAUGAUGUGGCCAUGAGAGAAAAGGAGGGGAAACUUAUCUUUUUCUCUAGUAUCCUUGUUCACAAAUGUAGCUAUCAAAAGGGUCCAGUCUAAGCUUUAAUGCAACCUAAAAGGAGUUGAGAUAUGUUACCUAUUACUACUCACAAGCCUCCAAGUGAUUGAUAUUUUAGUUGCUAAUCCAUAUCAAUUUGUUGCAAACAAACAACAGGCAAGAGAAUCAUGUUGAUAUUCAUCGUGAGCUAUGUAUCAGAUUCUGACAAUUCUAGAAAUAUUAUGUACUAUUAGCAGACCAUGACCAAAUCUGAUUGUGUUUUUCUGUGCCCUUUUGCAAUCAUAAUUUGAAAAAAGCAGUUGGAAGAAUUAGAAAUGGCACAACUAAAUGGUUUCUGGCUAUUUCUUGGGAGGCAUAGUUUCUGAAACUAAAAAAGAAAAUUUGAAUUUGAUGUCUCUUUCUUUGAACCCAAUUAACAGAACGGUUUGGUAGUUACUGGUAGUUUGUUGCUGUAUACUAUACAAAAUAUCUGUGUUUCCAAGAAUUAUGGGCUUCAUGUUUGAUUUUGAAAGCUCAGUAGUUUCCUUGCAACACAUUCUUAAAUUGAGUGAUGAACUUCUUUUCUUGGAUAACAAAAUACAAAGUUGUUUCAAUAUGUUGAAAUAACAUUAUGUUAAUUAGGCCAAGCUGAACUAUGAUGUUUACUCGAAUGACUAGAAGAGUUCCUUUGUUAAACUUUAACAAGUAAAAGCAUUAAACUACAAAGUUAUUUUAGAACAAUAGACACAACACAACAGCUUAUUCAUUAGUUCUCAUCCUUUCAUUUGCAAUGAAGUCCGAAAACAGAAACCAAAAUUACAAGGUGAUGGAAUCUCAAAAAGAGAAAACGAAAUGGGAAUUUGGUUUAAGUAGAAACAAACAAAGUGGGGUGGUUACAAAUAAUGGAAACUUAGUAGCCUGGUGGCUUGUAGGCAAUGAAACUGAUGCACUGAACUUGACGAACACUGUCAAAUCCAACGAUACGGACGAAGCCGUCGGGGUAGAGAGUCCUGGCCUCUCGAAGCUCCUUCAGAACCUGAGAAGAAUCAGUGCAGCCAUACAUAGGCAGCUUCCACAUGGUCCAGUACCUUCCAUCAUAGUAUCCAGGUGACCUGUUGUUCUCACGGUGUGGGAAAGCGUCCUAUAAACUCAAAACUCAUAUCAUUACUAUCAAAACUCAUAACUGUUAAAAAAUAACUGAUUCACACAAAUAAUUUUACUCUUCGAUCCAUUGUUGGUUACUCUGUUCCAAGAAAUUUACCUU